GCAGGGCCUUGUGAUAGGGCAUCCAUCUUUUUUCAUCGAGGUCGCCAUCGUCCAUCUGCGUCGAGGCCACCCUGCCAUAAAAUUCUGCUCUCAAAGGUGUCUAUUAUUGUGCAGUUUCAGAAAUCCUUCAGGAAAAAAUGCAAAAGAAAAAUGGAGCAGGAGUCGUAGGCCUCAAGCCCUCUCUCCACUUCGUGGCUUCUUGUUCUCAAAGCACAAGCUGCUACAGCUACUAUUAGUAAACUACUUCUGCUCACUAUAAUGAGCUGAGGGGCAUUGCCCAACUGCGUGGAUGCUUGCCUGCUCACCGAGCGUCGCAAUAGUCCACCCCGAAGCCAUCAACAGGAGCAGCUUGCAACAGUCCCGCCUCUCCUUCGCCUAGUGCUCCAAGAGGCCAGGGUAGAAAAAUCGGUCAUCUUCUGAUGAGCCCUGCCCCAAAAGGAACCUCUCCCUACCUCUCUCAGCUACUGA
rnacentral:rRNA from 1 species